UACAGAGGGGGCAAGCGUUAUUCGGAAUUAUUGGGCGUAAAGGGCGCGUAGGCGGCCUUGCAAGUGGCGGGUGAAAAUCCCUCGGCUUAACCGAGGAACUGCCUGCCAGACUGCAAGGCUCGAGACCGGGAGAGGUGAGUGGAAUUCCCAGUGUAGCGGUGAAAUGCGUAGAUAUUGGGAGGAACACCAGUGGCGAAGGCGGCUCACUGGACCGGAACUGACGCUGAGGCGCGAAAGCGUGGGGAGCAAACAGG
rnacentral:rRNA from 1 species